UUAAUGGCGUCCAGUCAUCGUUUGUCACCCUUGCAGUAGAAAUCGUUUUACGUACUCCUAUAAACUUACAACGUUUGACUACCAUGGCGUCCCCGAAGCCCAUUGUUUGAAGAGUUAAGUGAAGUGCAAGUGUUGGACUUAAAUUAGCCGCUUGUCACGGCCUCCUCUUCUGCGCCGAUCCUUGACGAACCGGUUGCUGGUCCUAGUGGGCUGACUAGUCCUGGCGAGGAAUUUGCUGCGAUGCCCAGACUUACUAGGUCAUCUGGCAGAAGGCUUAAUCCUUACUCGGAUGAGUUAAAAGGCCCAUUCUCGGACGGAAGAGGGAACCUAUGCAAGGAUAAGGAAGAAUCUUCUUUUGAUGGUAUACCGCAUUUUGAGUAUUUUCCCUACCAUGUUUUGGCAAAGUACAACACAAAAUCGUCAAUAUGACUUACCUAUGUAUCCUCGAACGAAGGCGUACAUAACCAAAAGCGUCGCGUAACAGGUAACGCACGGCCGCCGCCCUAACGACCACUUGUCACUGGAUGAGACAAUGAACUGCUGCAGGUAUCGGGUGAAGAUCCAUCAAAGUCUAAUACUCCAGGUGAAGACAUACAGUUUGAUCUUGCACAACCGAGAAGAGUGCCUUUGUCAUCAGUGUCAUCUAUAAUAUAAAAAAUGAAUCGCAGAAUGUGUAGGUAAGCGCAUAACUAUACAAAGCCUGAACCAAUUGUA